GCUAGAGUUCAGUUCGAGGCUGAUGCUUGAGGUUGGAGGAGCCCCGCAGACUGCUUUCCUUCAGAUUGAUCACACUCCACCAGGACAGAUAUGUAUCAUUUCUUCUUUGGUGUCUGCCUUUGGCAUCUAGCACAAGCCUAUGAGUAGGAUGGAAAACUAAGUGAUUCAAGAAGUAGACAGGAAGUUAAUCCUCAAGCUGGGUAAGCUGCUUGAAGCCCAAAAGUGUUUGACACUUCUGCCUUAACACAGCACAAAAAUAUCAGCAGAAGCUGGACCCAAAUAGGCAGUGUUCGCUCUUAAGAUUCGUAGGAAUGUUCCAAAUCAGAACCACCUACUAUAUGCUAAGAACUCUGGGUGCUGUGAUUCAGCUAAAGUAGGAGGGAGCAGACCAAGAAAACCUGGCAACAAUAUAAAGUCAAAAAGGAACCUGUUCAAAUACAAAAUAAAAUCAGAAUCAGGGGAAAAAAAACAAUCUUCAAAAACUACUGUGGUGAAGGGAAGUAACUUCUUAAAAAGCACCAUUCAAUACCUUGAUGCUGUUUCUAAUGGCAAGUGCUAAGAACCACAGAAUCUUAUAGUUGAAAGAUACCUUAGAGAUUAUCUAGCCCAAACUCUAAAUUUGUAAGGAAUCCAGACUCUGUUUGAAGAUCUCUAGCAAUAAGAAACUCAAUGGUCCCAAGAGCAACCCAUACCAUUUUUAAACAGGCAUAAUUUUUUUUUCUCAUGCUGACCCAAAAUCGAUAACUCUAUAAUUUCUCUAGUUGGUCUUAGCCUUGUCUUCCAAGGCCAAGAAGUUAAAUUAAAUACCUCUUAAAGAUGACAAUCCUUCCCAUAACUAAAAACAAAUGCACUCUCUCCAAAUCUCAUCUUUUCUUCUCCAGGCCAAACAUCCAUUCAGUUCCUUCAAUUGGUCUUGGCUUGAUUUCAAGUAUGUUCAUCAUCUUAGCUACCUUUCUCUUGAUACAGCCCAACUUCUAAAAAACUAUUCUAAAAUGCUGUGCCAAGAACAGGAAGCAACACUUCAGAUUAUGUCUAGUCAGGACAAAGUACAAAAAUACAAUGAGAUUAUCAUCUCUCAAUAGUAUACUUCUAAACUAGGUUCUAAGAUUACAUUAGUUCUUUUGGCUGCCAUGUCACCCUGGUGACUCAUUUUGAGCAUAGUUAUUUUUCACAUGAACUAAUGGGUCUCCUUCUGUCCUAUUGCUGUUAGUUUUCUUAAAUUGAUGCAAUAUCUUACAUUUAGGUCUAUUUUACUUCCUCUUGUUAAUUUCAGCCCAUCAUUCCAAAUUCUCCUAAUCUAGACCCCAAUAUAUAAACAAGCCCUACCAACUUUGCUAGGGCAGCUCAGAGGCCCAGUGAAUAAAUGUUAAAACCUCUUCUUGAAUUCAAAUCCAGCCUCAGACAUUUACCAACUGUGUGACCCUGGGUAAGGUCUCCGUUUCUAUAAAAUGAGCUGAAGACAGAAAUGGCAAAACAUCCAACAUCAGACAUGACCCACGAACAAACGACCACCUUUGUGCUAAAUUUAAUAACCACAUCUAAGCCUCCCUCUAAAUCAAGUGUCCAAUCACUAAUAUAACUACAAGUACUCAAUCAAGCAUAUAUUAAGGAUUUUGGAGGGAACUAUCUUCAAUCCAUCAAUCCCUUCAAAUACAGAUUUGCUGUGUAAUCGACCAAAUUAUUUCACUACUGUGGGACUCGGUUUCCAAAUUUAUGAGGUUGACUACAUGGUCUCGGAAGUCCUAAGAUUGGUAGCUAGGUAGAACCCUCCAUCCUCCUCAUUCAGCUCAUGUUCCAGACGUAGUCCUAGGGUGGUUCAAUGCCAUGGAGGGGGUGACCAGGUUAGGAAAUUCAAAUGUCCUGACUCCCAGGCCGGGACUCUUUCCACUAGCCCCUUUGUAAGAUAGUCCGUUCCAAAAGAGGACUGGAAACCAAUUCUAGAGAUGGGGCAAUGUGGGGAGCAAAAAGCCAAAAUCAUCACGGGGAAAGAGGGAGGGCUGAAAGUUUAUGCCUGAAGUUUUUUGCAAAGGGGCGAGGCUUGUUUUAGCCUUUCCUGACUGCCGCAGGUACACGCCUCCUGCUCCUAAAUUCUGCAUGUGAGUUAUAAGUGUCUGAGACGCCUAACAUAGGGGGUGGCGGGCUGAGGUGUGCCCUAUUUACCUCACAUUCACACCCGCAACAAGACGGCCUGAUACUGUGAAAAUGUCUCACUACGGAUUUUUCCGCCCUGAAGCUCCAGUCAAUCCAGGAGCCGAAGUGAAGUUCCUAGCGGCCACGAGUCCGCCUCGGGAGGGGAGGAGGGAGAGCGCGUGAACAACCCCGGAGCUCACCUUCCCGCCCGGCGUGCGGGGAGGCCCGGGAUUCCGUCUACCAGCGGCCUUCCGGUUCGGACCGGAAGCUGUUCAAACGCAGCAAACCCCGCCACCAGCCUUCCCUACGCAGUGGGCGUCACGAGGAUUCAAGUGCAGCGAGAAAAAAAAGGCGGAGGAAAAACGUUACUGAAAGUUAAGGGAUGCCUGGGCGGGACUAGGACGGGCGGUGCCGGGAACAAAUGGUAAAGCAGAGGUGGGACCAAGAGGCGGACCGAGGGAAAAGGAGUAGCCAUAUUGGAGAAAAAUGAAGGCAGGCGAGAGGAGGGGCGGGGUAGGAGGAGCGGGUAGGAUGAAGUUUUGGCCAUUCCAGAGGCCAAUGAGGAAGUCAGAACUGAAAAGGGAGGGGCCUGGCCGAGACUGAGAUAGUAGCCAAGGAGUUAGUGGUUCAAAUACUAUUGUGAGGCAUGAGCAAACGGGGGUGGAGCCAAGAAGCAGCUAGGGGUUGGGUACGAGAGAUGCCUCUUGUUUCCUGGGCCUAAUUUUCAUCCUUCCUCUCUUUUUUCUGCACUAGGAAUGUUCGGUGCGAGGGAAGGGUUAAAUUUAAUAACACACUUAAAAGAUUUGAGGAUUUCAGGCACUGUGCUAUAUCCAGGGGAUGCAAAUACAAUGAAUUAAACCAUCCUUAUUCAGGACAAAAUUACAUGCUCAUGAAGGAGAAAAAGAUAUAUGUUAAAAUAUCAGAAUAAAUAUAAAGCAAUACAAAAUAGUAAACUACAGGUACAGGUACCUUGGGUAGGAGGGCAUUAGCAAGUAGGGGGAAUCAGGAAAAGCUCCACAAAGAAAGCAAUGUCUAAGCACCUUCUUGAAGAAGGACUAGAAUUCUCUAGGCAGAAGUAAGACAAGGGAGUGCAUUCCAGGUAUAAGAGUACCAGAGUGAAAGCAAAGGUAUGGGAGAGGACAUAUGUGUAAGAAACACAGAGAAAGCCAGUGUGAUGGGAUCACAGAGUACAAAAUGCAAAUAGUGUACAAUGAGGCAGGAAAGAUAAGCUAAAACAAAGUUAUCAGGAGCUGUAAAAGCUAAAUAGAGGAAUUUAUAUUUGAUGGUAAAGGGUAUAGGAAGCCACAGAAGUUGAGUAAGUGAAAGGAGAUAGUGCUUUACAAAUAUGAUUUCAUUUGAUCCUCACAACAACCCUGUGAGGUAGGGGCUGUUAUUAUCCCCAUUUACAGUUAAAAAUUGAAGCAGAGGUUUUACAGUUAAAAAUUGAAGCAGAGGUUAAGUGACUUAUCCAAAAUCACACAGGUAACAAGUAGAGGUGGUUGGAUUUGAAUUUGGCUCUUCCUGACUCCAAACCCAAUAUUGUAUCCACUGUACCACCCAGCUGCUGCUAAGAGAGCAAGCUAAUAUAAUAGAAUUCUGGACACAAAGAAACCAUUUUGGCAGCAGAUGAACUGAAGUAGGAGAUGGGGAGAUUUAAUAUAGGGAUACCAAUUAGGAGGGGCCUGCAAUAAUCUAGGCAAGAGCAGGUGAGGGCUUACACUAAAAUGGUAGCUAAGUAACAAAAGGAGGGUGAUAUAUGGUACAAUGGAUAGAGUGGCAGGCCUGACGUGAAGAGGACCUGAAUUCAAAAUUGACCUUAAACACUUAAUAACUGUGUGACUUUUGCUAAGUCAAUCAACCUGUUUGCCUGUAAAAAUGAGGAGGGAAGGAAAUAAAUCACUCCAAUACUACAUUUGCCAAGAAAACCCAAAUAAGGUCAUGAAGACUGUUAAGAUUAAAAUUUAGGGGAAACUGAGGCAAUUAGAAAUUAGUUUCUCUCUUAAAGGAGUAUUAUAUUUUUAGAGGUUUAUUAAAGGUUAAGGAUUAAAGAAAAUACAGAAUAAGAAAACACAUGUCUAGGCCUACCUCACCUACAUUAUGAAAGGAGCUGCAAGCGGAAACAAGAAAGAAAAAAAGAGACCAAAAGCCUUUCCAAUCAGGUUAAAUACCCCAUCUUGAUCUUGGCCCAGGUGAGGUUACGAGGCAUUCUGGGGAAGUGAAGCAAGGACUUCUGGGGAUUGAAGUCCUGGAUUCAAGUCUCCAUUUUUACAAGACUCAGACACAAAUGAACAUAAAACAAAUGUAAAUAAAGAGAAGGAAUCCUAUGCAACAGAUGUUUUAGAGGUAGAAAUGGCAAGAUCUAGUAACUGAUAAGAUAUUUGGGGUGAGGGAACAUGAAGAAUGGAAGAUAAUCCAAAAUUACAAAUGUGGAUGUGAAGAAAAGUGCCUUCAUUAGAAAUAUGAAAAUUUAGAACAGGAGUGAGUUGGGUAGAAGAGAUCAUGAGUUCUUUUUUAAACAUGUUGAAUUUCAAAUGUCUCUUAAGACAUGCAAUUUGAAAUAUCCAACUGGCAAUCUGUAAUAGGGGGAUCUGAAGUUUUGGAGAGAGACUGAAACUGAAUAUAUAGAUUUGGGACUUAUUAGCAAAAAGAUAAUUAAACUUAUGGGAGAUGAUGAGGCCAGAGAGAGGGGAAAAGGGAGAAAGAGCAAAAAAAGUUUAAGAGGGUAGGGAAAGAGACAGAGACAGAGACAAAAAAUAAAAAAAAGGAAGGGAAUGAGCAUUUAGAUAGCACCUACUAUAUGGCAAAGACUAUGCUAAACACUUUACAAAUAUUAUCUCACUUGAACUUAACAAGGGAAGAGGGAAGAGAAUAAGCAUUUCUAUGGGUCUUACUUUGUGCCAAUCACUGUGCUAGCUUCUUACAAAUAUAUCAUUUGAUCCACUCUGCGAGGUAAAGGUUAUUAUUUCCAUUUUACAAUUGAGGAAACUGAGGUAGAGGUUAAGUGACUUGCCCAGGGUCACAUAGCUAAUAAGUUCACAUAGCUAAUAAGUUUCUAAGGCUAAAUCUGAACCUAGGUUUUCCUUAUCACUGUAUUCAUGGUGCUACCUAGGUACCUCUAAGACAGUGAAGACAAACCUUUUAGAGACUGAGUGCCAUGCCACACAUUCUACCAAGUGUCAGGCACUCCCCUACUCCCCCUUAUCCUACACAGAGGAGGGAGAAAGCCCUUCCAUGAGGCUGUUUAUAGGAAUUGCCUGCAGUUCCUAUAUAAUAAAGUUGUGGGUGGUGACCUGAGAAGGAGAAAGGAGACUGGAGGAAAAGGGGUGAAUAGAAAAUAGAGAUAGAGGGAGAAACACCAGAAUAAAGAAUCAGAGACAAGUUAAAACACACGGGGAGUCGCGAUCUCCUUGAAUCCUUCCCAUUGGCAAGGGUGCCAGAGAAUUAAUGGGAAAUAUGAGGAACAAGAAAACAUGUGGGGAGUAAGAACUCCUUAAUGCUUCCCAUGGGCAAGAGUAUCAGAGAAUUAAUGGAAAGCAUGGGGGUGACAGCGUCGCAAGAAAUGAGAGGUCAGGCGGAACAAGAUAGAAAAGAACAUCUAGAGCAAUCAGAAGAUCCAAAGAGGAUCAAGAGCAUGAUCCAGAGAUGUAAGAGAGGGAGUCGCACUUGUUCCCCAGCUUUUAUUGGAGAUUCUAGGAAUGUCAAGUGGAAGGUAAUUAAUGAAUAAUAACAUGGCAUAGGUUUUAACACUGGUUGAAUUGACAAUGACGAAAUCAAAGAGGUGGAGAUUAACCUGACAUGUGCUUUGGAAAGGAAUGUGGUCUGACAAGCUGUGAGCUAGGAUAUUGCUGCUGGUAACUUCCUGCUCAGGAAUUCUCUUGUCGUUAGGACUGAAGAUUUAGAAAUGCAAUAACCAAUAUUUAACAUGGCCAUGAGUCUGGCAUAUGAAUACAUAAGAUACAAUAUCAAUACAUCAAUCAUACUUCCAAGAUGCUAAUAUGCCUGAUAUGCUAUACUGCUGGGCAGAGGGGCUGGUGAAGUAAGAAAUGUCCUCAGUGAGUGUAGAGAAUGGGAGUGGACAAAAUGCUCUGCUCCCUCCAGCUCUUCUACCUGGAUUGCUAGGUAGAGGGGCAGGUCAUGUGAAAAAAUAUCAGGCUCAGUGGAGAGGGGGAGGGGAGCAGCUUUGCAGGGGUCCCUCUAACAUUUCUAGUAAUAUACUGUGGCAGGAGAAGAAGGGGCAGGGAGAGGCAUGUGUCCCCACAGAGAGUGCUCUGUGCCAUCAUUGGCACAUGUACCAUAUGUUCACCAUCACAGCUCUAGGGAGACUGAGAAUGGAUGGGUAGAUAAGUAGAAGGAAAAUCAGUGAAGUGCAGUGUCACAAAAACUUGAAGAAAAUAAAGUAUCCAAGAGAGAGGUCAAUGGUGUCAACAACAUCAAACAGUUUGAAAGGAUGAGAAUUGAGAAAAUACCAUUGGAUUUGGCAAUGAAAAUAUAAUUGGUAGCUAUGGAGAAAGUAAUUUGAGUUGAGUGAUAAAGUCAGAAGCCAGAAAGUGAAGGAGUGAUAGGAGAGGAAGUAUAGGCAUCAAAACUAGUGUAGAUUUUGGGGGGUUCCCAUCUCUCCCUCCCACAGGAGUUUGGCUGAGAGAAGAGAGAUUUCUAAUAAUAGUUUAAAGUGGUCAGGAUUAGUGAAGGCUUUUUGUGAACUAAGAAAAUGUAUGCAUAUUUGAAAGUGGUGGACAAAACCAGUAUACAAAAGUUGCAAACUAGUGAGCAAAGGAUAAUUGAGCUUGUAAACUAUUGAAGAAGUUGGAAGGGAAUGAAAUCAAAGACACAUAAAGAAGAGUUGGUGUUGACCAGGAAAAGACCCAUCUCAUCAAAGACUGGAAGAAAGGAAAAAAGGGUAUAAUGUUAAAAGAUUUUUUUUUAAUGAAGAAAAAGGACUAAAGAUAGUUUUAAUUUUUUCAUCUGAGAAUUUCCUCUUCAGAUCCUUUGACCUUUUGUUAACUGAGGAAUGCUUUGUAUUCUUAAAAAUUUGAAUCAUUUCUCUAUAUAUUUCAUAAAGGCCUUUUUUUUUCAGAAACAUUGCUAUAAAAGCAUUUUCCCACUUUAUUGUUUCCUUUCUCAUUUUGGUUGUAUUGGUUUUAUUUAUGUAAAAACAUUUCGAUUUAAUGUGCUCAGAAUUAUCUAUUUUACAUCUCAUAAUGUUUUCUAAUAUAUAUUCUUCCCUUCUCAAUAGAUCUGACAGGUAAACUAUUCUAUGCUCUUCUAAUUUAUUUAUGGUUUCACCCUUUAUUUUCAAAUCAUGUAUCCAUUUUGACUUUAUUUUGAUAUAAGGUGUGAGAUGUUGUUCUAUGCCUAAUUCCUUCCAAACUGUUUUCAAGUUUUCCAAGCAGUUUUUAUAGAAUAGUAAGUUCUUCCAAAAGCUUGGGUUUUGGGGUUUGUCAAACGCUAGGUUACUAUAGUUAUUUAUAACUGCCUAUGGAAGGACUAAUCUAUUCCAUUGCUCUGCUACCCUAUUUCUUAGUCAAUACCAGAUUGUUUUGAUGGUUGCUGAUUUAUACUACAAGUUGAGGUCUGAUAUGGUUAAGCUUCCUUCAUUUUCCCCACCAUUAAUUCCCUGGAUAUCCUUGGCCUUUUGUUCUUCCACAUGAAUUUUAUCACUUUUAUCACUUUGACAUAAUUUUUUUAUGUAGUUUUAUUGGGAUAGUAUUGAAUAAGUAAAUUAAUAUAGGUAGAAUUAUCAUUUUUAUUUUAUCAGAGCUUAGCCUAUCUGUGAUCAAUUUAUGUUUUUCCAUUUCUUUAGAUAUGACUUUAUUUGUGUGAAAAGUAUUUUGUAGUGAUCAUAGAGUUCCUGGGUUUGUCUUGACAAAAUCACUAAUUCAAAUCACUAUUAAUUAGAGAAAUUGUAAAAGAUAAUUUUAGAGUUGUGACCUAACUAUAUUAAUUAUUGGUCACCAUGGAUAUCCCAAAUUAAAAAAAAAAAGUCAGCUGGAAAUUUAUGGUUAUUUAAUUAAUAUAGUGGAAAGAAAUUAAGAAGGAAGAAGGAAAGGGUAUAGGACUUCUCCUGCCUGGCUUGUGCCAGGAAGAAGACCAGGGGCUCUAGGAAGGUAAGGUUUUGGAGAGUAAAGGAGGAAGGAAUCAGCCUGAACUCCAAGAGAGCUCAGCUAAGAUGCCUGAACCUGAAUCAGCUCAAGGGCAAACCCACCACCAAAACCCAGACAAAUAGCUGCCACCAUGCCAAGAUAUCAGAACACUUAGCAUGCUGUCAGCCAGAGUCACCUCUCCGGGAAAAGAAAGUGAAGAAAGGAAGUGAUGUGCCUUAUAUAGAUGGUUUUACAUCACUUUCCUGUAUCUCAUCUGUACCAAUGAUAACUUAGCUUGACUUAGGACAGCCCAGGGGUCUGUCAACUGUUUCUGCACAUGUCUGUUGAAGGCCAUCUUCUUAGAUACUUAAUCCUUGAGUAUGGGUGCAGACAUUCCUGACCUUGUUAAACUAAGUAGGUAGGAGCAAUGUAGAGUUCCCAAGACCUGAUUCUGUUAAACCAAGUACCUCCAUUGUUACAAAUCAGGAAAUAGCUAAAUCAAAUCUUCUAAAGUAUAGUAUGAGUAGGGUGGAGUAGUUUUAAAAUUCACAACUCUGAGGUAACACCUCACACCUCUCAAUCUGACUAAUGAGACAAAAAAAAAUAUGAUUAAUGUUGGAGGUGAUGUGGAACAAUUGGGACACUAAUACACUGUUGGUAGAGCUGUGAACUGAUACAAUCAUUCUAGAGAACAAUGGAACAAUGCCCAAAGGGUCAUAAAACUGUACAUAUCCUUUGACCCAGCAAUAUCACUCUAAGUCUAUAUCUGUCCCAAAUAGAUCAAAGGUAGGGGGAAAGAAACCCACAUGUACAAAAAUAUUUAUAGCAGAUCUUGUGUUUGAACUUGUUUCCCUGUAGCUCUGAUGCUUUCAUCAAGAAUGCUUAGAAGUCUUGAUUUUUUUAAUCCCUUUUUUCCUGUAGUAUUAUAUACAGUAUUCAGUUUUUCUGAGUAAGUUAGGCUCAUAUCCUUUGCCUCCUGGAAUAUCAUAUUCCAAGUUUUCCACUCCUUUAGAGUAGUGACUGCUAAGUUAUGUGUGAUCCUGACUGUGGCUCCUUAAUAUUUAAAUUCUUACUGGUUACUUGCAGUAUUUGUUCUUUGACAGGAAGCUCUAGAUUUUGGCUAUGAUGUUUGAACUUUCUUUCAAAAGAUGGCUGCUAGAUUCUUGUCAUUUCCUCUCUGCCCUCUAGUUCCAAGAGAUCUUGAGAAAUUUUAAGAUUUCUUGAAAUAUGAUGUCUAGGUUCUUUUUUGGCCCUGGCCAAAAUGAAUAUCCACUCAUGGCCCAAUGUUUCUCCAAAGCACUAGGUAUCAUCAUGAAUCUUCUGGAAGCAGAUUCCCCAGGGUCUUCCUUAUAGGGAAUUGUAUCAGUUGUACUCUAUACAUGCUCAUAAGAAUUGGGCUUAUUGUCCAGGCUAUUGUUAAACUUAAAAAUAAUUAACUUAUCCUAAUUCUUUUUUUCUAGAUAAAAUACAUUCAGUUCUCUUAAAUAUGUUUGCUUUGAAACGAAUUCUAAGAAUGUCACCAUAUUAUCCACUUUAUACAGUUUUUAUACAAAAAUUUCUUAGGUUCUCAUCAUGUACAAGACAUUAUGUAUAUGGAUAUAAAAGAAAACAAAGUUCAUUCUUACAAGAAGCUUACAAUCUAACCCAGUGUAAUUGCUCGUAGACUCUAGGAGAAGUGAGGGAAAAACGUGAAUCAUGUAAGCAUGGAAAAAUACUCUAAUUAAAUAAAUAAUUUUUUUAAUUAAAAAAAGCUUACAGUCUAAAGGAGGGGUGGGUGAGACAUAUUCAAAAAUAUCUAUAAUACCAAUUUGAAAAUAGAUAAGUAUAUUUGGGAGAAGCCAGUAAAUGCCCGAAGAGAUUCGAGAAGAAAGCUUUCUCUUCUAAAUUGUGAGAUUUAAAAUGGUGGAGGUCUUAAACUGUAGUGAUUAAAAUAGUGGAAGAUAUAAAUUGUGAUAGAUAUAAGAGAGGGUGAGUCAAUUUGACCGCAGAAAUAUGUUUCACUACAGUGUCUUGGGUUUAAAAUCAAAUAUAAGGUGGUCACCAGGGAAAUAUUCCCAAUUAUUCAAAUACCCAAGUCAAUUGGGUUUUAUAGAGAUUUUAAUUAACAAUACAAUGAGUAAUCAAAGAAGGAGAGAGAGAGUAAGAAAAGAAUCAGUUUUUUAACACUCACCACAAGGUCUGACUAAACAAGGAUUUCUAAUGCCAGGCCAGCAGCAUCUCAGCUGCUUUCACCAGCUCCCUCCUCCAUCUGAAUGUUUCAGAAUCAGUCUCCUCAGAAUGAGUCUCUCCAAUCUGAAUGUUUCAGAAUGACUUUUUAGCUCUUCCCUGAGCUCUUAUUUUUAAGGGCAAAAUUUCCUCUGUCACCUCCCCCAAGUCCUUACAUCUACCAAUCACUGUAGAUGUUUCUAAAGGACCGCCCAUUCUUAGUCCACACCUAAGAAGGUGUGGAUUUUUGAGUAAAUCACACCAGGAAAGCUCUGAGGAAGUUUUCCAGUUCUUUGUUCCUUGUAAAUUCACAAGUUGCUUGACCUUUAUAGGUACUUCGCUUAAGAAAAGUAUGGGUUUAAGUACUUUUCAUUGUUCAGAAAAGAGUUUACAACUUUAUCUUCCCCUAGGGCAGACCCAAGUAGGUAAAGUAGAAUUCUCACAUUCCAGCUUUAAGUAGAGUUCACUGCCCAAAUGGGGAAUGGUCUUAAUCCAAUCUUAUAAAGUAGGGUCUGGGAAAUUUUAAGGUUUACAAAAUGGGGGCAUUAGGAAAGCUUACCAAGAGAUAGUUGUACCUGAGCUGGCCCUUAAAAGAAUGGGAUUUCUAUAGUAGGAGAGACCUCUCAUUCCCAGGAUACAAGCCAGCAUAUGAAAUGCCUGAAAGUGGGAGGAAGCAAGACACAUUGAAAAACAAUGAAUUAAGGAUGGCUAUGGAGUAUAGAGCCUGAAGAAAAGUGGUGUUACAUGACUAGAAAGGUAGAAGGGAUGUGAAUCAUAAAAGUUUAGAUAGCAGACCUUUGAAAGAGAAUUUAAAAGAUCAUCUAGUCUAUCUCCAUUAUUUUAAAAAUAAGGAAACUAAAGUAUAAUAGUGUUUAAGUGGUUUACCCAAGAACAGUCAUAGAACAUGUGGCAGAAACAACAUUUGAACUCAUGUGUUUUGAUGCCAAAUGAAAUUCGUUUUUCUACUAUAUUAGCAUACUAAUUGGAUUGGAAUACUUUUGGAUUAGGCAAUAGAAAGCUACUGAAGGCUUGUGAGUAAUCAAUCAAAAGUAUUUAUUAAACACCUAUUAUGUGCCAAGCAUUGUGCUAGGUGAUGAGGAUACAAGUACAAAGAACAAAAAUGCAAUGAUCUUACAUUUGAAUAGGAGAGAGAACAAGUAAAUUAUAUGUUUGUGUAUACACACACACACACACACACAUAGACAUAACAGAGUAGUUAAAUACAAGAAAAGACUCAAGCAGAUGUUAUUUAAGCUCCACCUUAAAGUAUUUGUGGUAUUUUAAAGUAUUAAAUAAUAUUUAAGUUAUGUCUAAAAGAAAGGAACUCUGAGGAAGAGUAAGUAGGAAGUGCACUCUACAAAUGGGAGGUAACUUAUGUAGUCACAGAGACAGGAGAUUGAAUGUUGUGUGUGGGGAACAAAAAGGAAUAAUAUAGCUAGAUCACAAGGUAUGGGAAGAGAAAUGAUGUCUGUGUAUUAGUAAAAUUGCUUUGGCUAUAGUGUGAAAAAUGAAUUAGAUAAGAAAGAUUGAUGGUAAGAAGAAUAAUUGAGAGACUAACAUAAUAGUUAUAAGUUAAGAAGUGAUAAUUAAGUAGUGAAGAGUGGAAUUACCUGAAGUAAUAGUGGAGAGGAAUUGGCAGGUGUGGAGAUGUUACUAAAGAAGAAUAGGAGCUGACUAUUAUGUAGUGAAGGUGGAAGUAGAGUUAGGAAGAGAUAAGAGACACUAAUGACUCUGUGGCUUUGAAUUUGGAUGUCAAGGAAAAUUGUGGUGCCAUCAAUAGAAACAGGAAAGUUGAGAGAGGGGACAAGUUUUGGAGGGAAGCUGGUAACUUCUGUUUCAGACGUGAGAUUGAGAUGUCAAUGGAACAUCCAGAAAGAAAUAUCCUUUAGGCAGAUAGAAGUAUGGGACAAAAAUUCAUAUGUGAGGUUGGGAUUAUAGCUAUAUUUGUAUUUGAAAGUCAUUUGCAUAUAAAUUAUCAUUCAAAUCAUGAUAUGGAUGAUUUUACCAUGUGGGAGAAAGUAAAAAAAAAACUGAGAAGAGGUCCAAGGACAAACUCUUCGGUUAUCCUGUUGUUAAACUGGAAAAAAAAACAUAGAACUAUUAAAUAGAGAAACCAAGUCUUUAAUCAGGACAGGGAUAAUGGUAUAAUCUUUAGGCCUCUACUCUGGCUACUCUGAGUACUGAUUCCUGGGAGAAAUCACAGAGUGAGAUGAUAGCCCAGAGGAACCAUGAAAACUGGGGAACUUAUAUAUCUCUUAGGAGAACUGAGCACCAGAUAAUAUUGUUGACUGACUUUAUAAUGGCUACAAAGAAAUGAGGAGUCCUAGAUAGGAUUUGGGAACAGCUGAUGCUUUACAAUGGGACACCAAAUGAAAAGAUCCAGCCAAGGGCUGGGCUACCUGAGAAAGGACUUUGAUACAAUGGGAGAAACUACCAGGACAGAAAGGAUAAUAAUAUCUGAUUAAGUCUGUUAGCUCCACCUGAAGUAUUUUGUUUAUUGUUAGUCUGAAACUCCUGAAGUUGGGAUUUCUCUCCAAAAUUCUCAUGUGAUAAGGUCAAACUUGGGGUCUUCAGACCUCAUACUGCUACAAACUUGGGGUUCUCUUAGAUUCUACUUUGACACUGUAUUUCAGGGACAGGAAAAGAAGUAAAGGAGAUUAAGGAUGAGCAUUUAGAUAAAUUGGAAGAAAACCAAAAAUGUCAAGAUUCUGAAAGCUUAGGGAAGAAAGACUAUGAAGAAGGAGGGGGUGAUCACCAUUGUCAGUGUCAAAUUCUAGAAAAAGGUCAUGAAAUGAAAGACAAUGAGAAAGUCAGUAGUGAUAGAGACUUGAUAUAAGGAAGUUUUCCUAACUAUAGCUCACCAAAAGUGAGAACUGGUACCUUUCCCUUUAAUAGAGGUGGUCAACAUGGAAUCUAGAAACCCCAAACUUGUAGCCUAGCAAGAUCUGACAAACCCCAAGUUUUAGGACUAGCUGUAAGUUGGAGACCCCAAAGUUUGUACUUGUUUCCUGUUCCCAUAAGAAUCACCCUGAAGGCUAGCAGUUUCAGACUGAAUAAUGAACUCUAUAAGGUAAAUGAUAAUCCCAGUUACAUGGAGCCAAGAAAAAGUUAAGUGCAUAGUAGGCAGCUUGUCAAUUUCAUAAACUGAAGGUCCUGAGCUCUAUCCUAAAAGGGGGCUGUGGUACAAUGGGAGAAGUUUCUGAAACUGCUAGCCUGAGAUUCCCUUCAGGGUAGAUUUUCAAGGGAACAGGGAACAAGUACAAGCUUUGGGGACUCCAACUUACAAGCUAGUCCUAAAACUUGGGGUUCAUCAGAUCUUACUAGGCUAUAAGUUUGGGGUUACUUCUUCAUGAAAAAGUGUCAACUAAUACCAGGUAACAAGUUGGCAGGAAACAAAGACAUGAGACUUAUCCAAGGUCAGAAAAAUAUGGAUUGGUUAUGGAUUACAGGAUCAAGAAAAUGGCAGAUUAGUUGCCUACCCCAUAGACAAACCCCCCAAAACAGGAUUUAUACACCAGAUUUAGAGCAAUUGGUCCUGAAUGGGGGGUGUGGGGGUGUGAAGGUGGGUCAGAGAUAAACCCCAUUCAUAUGGGAAAACCUUUAUUUAUUAAUCCUGCAGCAUGCUAAUUCUUUUUUUUUUAAACCCUUACCUUCUUGGAAUCAAUACAGGGUAUUGGUUCCAAGGCAGAAGAGUGGUAAGGGCUAUGCAAUGGGGGUCAAGUGAUUUGCCCAGGGUCACACAGCUGGGAAGUGUCUGAGGCCAAAUUUGAACCUAGGACCUCCCAUCUCUAGGACUGGCUCUCAAUCCACUGAGGUACCCAGCUGCCCCCAACAUGCUAAUUCUUAAAGCAAAUUACUCAAGAUCCUCCUUCCCCACUACAUCAUGCCUUACAGAAAUUCAUUAAUUGGGAUUCCUUUGUAUUUUCUGGUAUACUUCAACUUUUGCCCACUCCCUGGCUGGUACCAAAUUAUAGACAUUGAUUCUGCCCAGCUAUGUGAUGAUUGGGAGUGGGAAGUAUUCUACCUUCUUCCUGGGAUAUAUUCUAAGUUAAAAAAAAACUAAAGUAUGGCAAAACUCUAUCCAAAAGGCCCUCUGAAACUAUCCAUUUUCAAGUGAUGAACACUGAUUCAUCCCAAUCAGAGGCAAAAGCCAACAGAGGAACUGAGGUAAUAUACUGAUAUAUGUAGCUGUUAACUUGGGGAAAACAACUACUAAAGUAGUCAGAAAAACCAAGUCUUUAAUCAAGAAAGAGAUAGUGUUCAAUAUUUGGCCACCACUCAGAGUCAAGUGCCUAAAACCACAUAGAGCCAAAGGCUCUGGCAUUCUGGCAACAGUGUCUCUAAGAGGAUCACUGUACUGGAAGAUCCUCCGAAGAACAACAGAACUUGGGGAACUCAUAUACCUUUUGGGGAACUAAGGGACAGGGAAGUAUGAUUGAUUGACAUUACCAUGGUUAUAAGGAAACGAGAACUCCAAGCUACUCUAGGCUUGGGAAAGAAACCAUAGGGCUGGGGUAUCAGGGAGUAGCCUACUUACUUACAAUAGAUACUAAAUAGAUGGUCUUGGGAACAGAUCUCUGAUACAAUGGGGGAAACUUCAAAGACUAAAAGGGUACUUAACAUUUGAUUAGAUCUACUAGCCCCACCUAUGCUGGGAUUAUCAAGUACUUUAAGGUCUAUUGUUCAGUCUGAAACUGGUGAGUCUGAGAUCUCCAUCUGCCAAAUUCUCAUGGGAUAGGGGCAAACUUGGGGUCUCCAGAUUUCAAGUUGAUAUAGCUAUGCCAAAAAGAAAGUAUUAAAGCCCAACUAUAGCAAUUUUUGUCCUCCACUCUUCUCCCUAUAACCAGGGGUCCCCAAACUAUGGCCUAUGGGCCACAUGUGGCCUCCUGAGGCCAUUUGUCCAGUCCCCUCCGCACUUCCGAAAGGGGCACCUCUUUCAUUGGUGGUCAGUGAGCAUCUGCAUCCUGUGCUCCUGGAAUACUAUAUAUGAUAGCACCACAAAGCGUGGCGUUGCUCACGUACAGUACUACUUCCAGUGACAUAAUCCUUUGUGUGGUGCCUUGUUCUGAGAGAAACUGAAUGAGAAAGAGGUGCCCUGCAAAGGAUUAUUUGGCUGCACAAUGAAUGACAUCAGCAUGAUGAAUGGCAAUCUGGGGGAAGGGAUUCCACACUGUGUAUACUGCUGCCCAGUAUAGUGGUGGUGGUCAUGGGCCUGUGCAAGGUGUGACAGGCCCUUCACAGCUAGCACUACAGCCUCCACUAUCCCAGACAGCAGUAUACAGAUUUGUUCAUAGUUUUUUUUAUAGUCUGGCCCUCCAAUAGUCUGAGGGACAGUGAACUGUCCCUCUGUGUAAAAAGUUUGGGGAUCCUUGCUAUAGAAUAACGGGGAUCAAGGCCACUGAAUACUAAAUCCCCCAAUUUGAGAGGAUGCUGAAAUCUUUCAAUUUAGCCCCAGCAGUCCACACAUAAGCAAAGGGAAAGGAAUCAGAAAGUAAGAGAGGACGGAAUAUAAAGAAAAUGGGCUGAGAUGCAAACAAUUUCAAGAAAAAAAUAUAUUGAAUAAAAACCCAGGCACA